rnacentral:rRNA from 1 species
CAGUCGCCGCGGUAAUACGGAGGGGGCUAGCGUUGUUCGGAAUUACUGGGCGUAAAGCGCACGUAGGCGGCUUUGUAAGUUAGAGGUGAAAGCCCGGAGCUCAACUCCGGAAUUGCCUUUAAGACUGCAGAGCUAGCAUGUGAGAGAGGUGAGUGGAAUUCCGAGUGUAGAGGUGAAAUUCGUAGAUAUUCGGAAGAACACCAGUGGCGAAGGCGGCUCACUGGCUCAUACUGGACGCUGAGGUGCGAAAGCGUGGGGAGCAAACAGGAUUAGAUACCCCCGUAGUCCCUGUCUCUUAUAC